AAUCAACGCUGGCGGCGUGCCUAACACAUGCAAGUCGAACGAGAAAGUGAGGGUAACUUCACGAGUACAGUGGCAGACGGGUGAGUAACACGUGAACAACUUCCCUUGAGUGGGGAAUAACACCGCGAAAGCGGUGCUAAUACCGCAUAACAUCUUCGGGUCGCAUGAUCUGAAGAUCAAAGGCGCAAGUUGCUUGAGGAGGGGUUCGCGGCUGAUUAGCUAGUUGGUGAGGUAACGGCCCACCAAGGCUACGAUCAGUAGCCGGCCUGAGAGGGCGAACGGCCACACUGGAACUGAGACACGGUCCAGACUCCUACGGGUGGCUG
rnacentral:rRNA from 1 species